rnacentral:rRNA from 1 species
AUUGAACGCUGGCGGCAUGCCUUACACAUGCAAGUCGAACGGCAGCACGGGUGCUUGCACCUGGUGGCGAGUGGCGAACGGGUGAGUAAUACAUCGGAACGUACCUUAUCGUGGGGGAUAACGCAGCGAAAGCUGUGCUAAUACCGCAUACGCCCUGAGGGGGAAAGCGGGGGAUCGAAAGACCUCGCGCGAUUAGAGCGGCCGAUGCCUGAUUAGCUUGUUGGUGGGGUAAAAGCCCACCAAGGCGACGAUCAGUAGCUGGUCUGAGAGGACGAUCAGCCACACUGGGACUGUGACACGGCCCAGACUCCUACGGGAGGCAGCAGCGGGGAAUUUUGGACAAUGGGGGCAACCCUGAUCCAGCAAUGCCGCGUGAGUGAAGAAGGCCUUCGGGUUGUAAAGCUCUUUUGUCAGGGAAGAAACACCGGCUCUAACACAGUCCGGGAAUGACGGUACCUGAAGAAUAAGCACCGGCUAACUACGUGCCAGCCGCCGCAGUAA